GGUCCCUGGACACUUGGGUCUGUUUUUGGGGGUACGACUGAGGGAAAAAGGGGGUCCCUCAAUCCCUGGAGCCAUUUUCGGGACAGAACUGAGGGAAAAAGGGUGGUCCUUAGACCCUAGGGUGCAUUUUUGGGGCAGAACUGAGAGAAAAAGGGUGGUCCUGAGACCCUUGGGUGCAUUUUUAGGGCAAAACUGAGGGGAAAAGGGGCUUCCUGAGACCUUUGGAUCCAUUUUUGGGGCGGAACUGAGAGGAAAAGGGUGGUCCUGAGACCCUUGGGUCCAUUUUUGGGGCAGAACUGAGGGGAAAAAGGGUGGUUCUGAGACCCUUGGGUGCUCUUUUUGGGCAGAAGUGAUGGGAAAAUGGGGGUCCUGAGACCCUUGGAUCCAUUUUUUGGGUAGAACUGAGGGGAAAAGGGUGGUCCUGAGACCCUCGGGUCCAUUUUUUGGGGCAAAACUGAGGGAAAAAGGGUGGUUCUGAGACCCUUGGGUGCAUUUUUGGGUAGAACUGAGGGGAAAAGGGUGGUCCUAAGACCCUUGGGUGCAUUUUUGGGGCAAAACUGAGAGAAAAAGGGUGGUCCUGAGACAU